GACGAACGCUGGCGGCGUGCUUAACACAUGCAAGUCGAGCGGUAAGGCCCUUUCGGGGGUACACGAGCGGCGAACGGGUGAGUAACACGCGGGUGACCUGCCCUCAGCUCUGGGAUAAGCCUGGGAAACUGGGUCUAAUACUGGAUAUGACUCCACGGUGCAUGUCGUGGGGUGGAAAGCCUUGUGCGGCUGAGGAUGGGCCCGCGGCCUAUCAGCUUGUUGGUGGGGUGANGGCCUACCAAGGCGACGACGGGUAGCCGGCCUGAGAGGGCGACCGGCCACACUGGGACUGAGACACGGCCCAGACUCCUACGGGAGGCAGCAGUGGGGAAUCUUGCGCAAUGGGCGAAAGCCUGACGCAGCGACGCCGCGUGAGGGAUGACGGCCUGGU
rnacentral:rRNA from 1 species